AGCUACUCUCUUUUCUUAGCUUCUGCUUAGAUGAUCCAGCUCACUUCGUACUUCUUGUAUUUGAAGUGUACUCUAUCUAAGAUAGGUGUAAUUGAAGUUCAAGGGUUUGAUCGGUUGAUUUAUGCGGUGCAUUACUUGCUUGCCUUCCAUUCAUAUACUACCUUUCUAUUUCUCAAUUACUGAAGGAUCCUCAGCAAACUUGCUUACGUGACAUGAAAUUACCUAAAUUAAGGAGUGAUCUGCGUAUGGUUGAAGAGCACCCAGCGAUUGUUGCGGAAGAACAGAACAGAAAGGUGCAUGAGUGGGAAGGGGACCUUUGCACCACCGAGGUUAGAACACAUAUUAUCACUUAGUAAUUGGAGUGAUUGCAAUAAUGUGGUCAAAGAUCAGGUUUGAUCAGGUGCUAUAAUGGACUUCGCGUGCUGAGACAAAUAUUGCUUGGGAAAGCGUUGGAUGGCAGGUUAACAAUGAUCUUAGAGGACAUAUUUUGUUUAAAGCCAUUGUUUCGAAUGUGCUCUUUUUGUUUAGAUAAGAAUGAUGAUAGUUCUGCUAGUGCUAAUGCUAGCUUAUAUGCCUUAGGCAUUUUAUUGGAUGAGGAAGCAUCACUUCCUCUGUGUUUUUGAACACAAGUUGUACAGCUUAACGAGCCGUUGCUCGACAUGUAAACUCUUUUACUAGAUCUAUGAAAGUCUACUAACGUUUCAGAAAAAAAAAAAAUAAUGGACUUCGCAGACUGUAUAAUUGAUUCAGAGAAAUGAACU
rnacentral:lncRNA from 1 species